AAGAAACACUACUGUAAGUCGCUCUGGAUAAGAGCGUCUGCUAAAUGACUAAAA
rfam:Salmo salar isolate Sally breed double haploid chromosome ssa12, whole genome shotgun sequence.